rnacentral:rRNA from 1 species
UACGUAGGGUGCAAGCGUUAAUCGGAAUUACUGGGCGUAAAGCGUGCGCAGGCGGUUAUAUAAGACAGAUGUGAAAUCCCCGGGCUCAACCUGGGAACUGCAUUGGAAACUGGCGGACUUGAGUGUGGCAGAGGGGGGUGGAAUUCCGCGUGUAGCAGUGAAAUGCGUAGAGAUGCGGAGGAACACCGAUGGCGAAGGCAGCCCCUGGGCCAACACUGACGCUCAGGCACGAAAGCGUGGGGAGCAAACAGGAUUAGAUACCCC